rnacentral:misc_RNA from 1 species
GAUGAAGAACGUAGCGAAAUGCGAUAAGUAAUGCGAAUUGCAGAAUUUCCGUGAGUCAUCGAAUCUUUGAACGCACAUUGCGCCCACUGGUACUCCGGUGGGCAUGCCUGUUCGAGCGUCAUUAUCCUCCCUCAAACCCCGGGUUUGGUGUUGGACCCAAGUUGUGUGAACAACUGGUCUCAAAGACAAUGACGGCGUCCGUGGGACCCUCGGUGCAACGAGCUUUUAGGAGCACGCAUCGAGUUGCAAGGACCUUCCGGGCCGGUCUCCUUUACCAUUUUACAAGGUUGACCUCGGAUCAGGUAGGAAUACCCGCUGAACUUAAGCAUAUCAAUAAGCGGAGGA